AGUGAACGCUGGCGGUAGGCCUAACACAUGCAAGUCGAACGGCAGCACAGUAAGAGCUUGCUCUUACGGGUGGCGAGUGGCGGACGGGUGAGGAAUACAUCGGAAUCUACUUUUUCGUGGGGGAUAACGUAGGGAAACUUACGCUAAUACCGCAUACGACCUACGGGUGAAAGCAGGGGAUCUUCGGACCUUGCGCGAUUGAAUGAGCCGAUGUCGGAUUAGCUAGUUGGCGGGGUAAAGGCCCACCAAGGCGACGAUCCGUAGCUGGUCUGAGCGGAUGAGCAGCCACACUGGAACUGAGACACGGUCCAGACUCCUACGGGAGGCAGCAGUGGGGAAUAUUGGACAAUGGGCGCAAGCCUGAUCCAGCCAUACCGCGUGGGUGAAGAAGGCCUUCGGGUUGUAAAGCCCUUUUGUUGGGAAAGAAAAGCAGCAGGUUAAUACCCCGCUGUUCUGACGGUACCCAAAGAAUAAGCACCGGCUAACUUCGUG
rnacentral:rRNA from 1 species